rnacentral:rRNA from 1 species
CGGGUGAGUAAUGCGUGACCAACCUGCCCCAUGCUCCAGAAUAGCUCUUGGAAACGGGUGGUAAUGCUGGAUGCUCCAACUUGACGCAUGUCUUGUUGGGAAAGUGUUUAGUGGCAUGGGAUGGGGUCGCGUCCUAUCAGCUUGUAGGCGGGGUAAUGGCCCACCUAGGCUUCGACGGGUAGCCGGCCUGAGAUGGCGGACGGCCACAUUGGGACUGAGAUACGGCCCAUACUCCUACGGGAGGCAGCAGCC